rnacentral:rRNA from 1 species
ACGUACACCCCUACGGGAGGCAGCAGUGGGGAAUAUUGGACAAUGGGCGCAAGCCUGAUCCAGCCAUGCCGCGUGAGUGAUGAAGGCCCUAGGGUUGUAAAGCUCUUUCACCGGUGAAGAUAAUGACGGUAACCGGAGAAGAAGCCCCGGCUAACUUCGUGCCAGCAGCCGCGGUAAUACGAAGGGGGCUAGCGUUGUUCGGAUUUACUGGGCGUAAAGCGCACGUAGGCGGACUAUUAAGUCAGGGGUGAAAUCCCGGGGCUCAACCCCGGAACUGCCUUUGAUACUGGUAGUCUUGAGUUCGAGAGAGGUGAGUGGAAUUCCGAGUGUAGAGGUGAAAUUCGUAGAUAUUCGGAGGAACACCAGUGGCGAAGGCGGCUCACUGGCUCGAUACUGACGCUGAGGUGCGAAAGCGUGGGGAGCAAACAGGAUUAGAAACCCCAGUAGUCCC